CCCUUAGAUGUCCUGGGCCGCACGCGCGCUACACUGAGUGUCUGAGAUACGAGUCUGCCUGGUCCGGCAAGGUCUAGGUAAUCGCUAAAAGACACAUCAUGCUUGGGAUAGAUUAUUGCAAAUAUUAAUCUUGAACGAGGAAUUCCUAGUAAGCGCAAGUCUACAGCUUGCGUUGAUUACGUCCCUGCCCUUUGUACACACCGCCCGUCGCUACUACUGAUUGGAUGUUUAAGCGAGGUUCUCGAACUGCUAGCGACUUAGCUUCGGUGAGGUCGCAGUGUGGGAAGUGAACCUAGCUUUGGUGUCUAGAGGAAGUAAAAGUCGUAACA
rnacentral:rRNA from 1 species